AAACCCUAGCCUCCACUCCUUCUCCGUUUCCUCGCGCCGCCAUCCUCUCCACCCUCUUUGUCUCUUUUCUUCACGUACAGAGAGAGGCCCUAAACGCCUGCCUCCAUCUCUCCAUGGCGCCACCGCUACCGAUGCUCCCUCGCCGAGCUGAGACCACCUCUAGAACCGACUCAUCGUCCUCUACAUCCUCGUACAAAGAAUCGAUCGAGGAGGCCUUCAAUCGUCGCCAAUUCGACGAUUCCCUCUUGCUGGUCACCGUCUUUCUUCCUCAAUUCCGGCCACCUCGAACCUUCCCCGGCCGACACACCACCCGUCGUUGGCCCGCUGCUCCAAGGCGCAUCUCCGGCACCAUCCAUCUCGCCUCGGUUCAUCCUCGAACGCCAGAUCCGGGCUCACCUGCAAGUCCCUGCCAUGGCCCCAAGCUCCGCUCCUAUCUGCUUCAAGUAGUGCACGGCCCAUUUUCUUCAACAUCAAAACCAGCAGCCCAGUGAUCCAGCGCCUACUGGGCCUCGGCCCGUUUACCCGCCAACUUCUUCGACGCUGACAACGCGGCAGACAGCUUCCCACCGCCUAAUCGCAUUUGCUUCUUCCCGGAUAGGAUCGCGAAGUGGUGUUGUGAGAUACGACAAGUUCUUCUGCAGCUUUUCACAGGCGAGCCCUCCCUCUUCACCUAUUUUAUAUUUUGCUCUCCCUCUCACUGCUAUCCUUAUGUUGCGAUUCUUUAUCGAGUCACGUGUCCUAUUCCACUUGUUACCAUAAUAAUCCUAUAUGCACCAUUCCUUAUCCACAGCCGUUGCUUGAUGUUUGAGCCUUGCGAGUCGUAGGCGUGUUUAGGCUCUGUUGUUUAUCUCGAUCUGUUAUCGGGAUAUGUUGGGUUAUUGGGAGGUUAUCAUAUGCUAUAUCAGUUGUUGGAGAUACACAUGCUUUACUUAUUUGUUAACAACUAAAAUUGUAAGCAGAGGCAUCUGUGAGCCCCUUUGCGAAAGCAUCGGAACAUUGACUCGCUAAUGUCCCCUAGGACCCGAGUUCUUGUUAUCUGUUCCGAGAUUGAGCGCUCUACCCAUGCGUGGGGACGAUUAUUGGGACCCCCUCACCCAUUACCUUUUCUCAAGUUAGUUGAAAAGGGGGCCACAACCUUGGUUUUAUUUGCCUAUGCCAUGUAUGCCAUGCUUUACUUACUGUUGCCUUCGGGUGUUUACUUCCUGUUGCCUUUAGGUGUUUAUAUUCUGUACUGUACCCCGCGGAACGUUUAGCGGAGCGUGUGGUUUGCACGCCUAGCCGUUAACGCAAACCCUGAGUCCGCUUCGGAGUACGGCCGGACUUCGUCACGGGUAGCUUAGUCGGGUGGCCCCCUAGACUUUCUUGUUGAACUGGGAACGGUCUUGUUGUGAGACAUCCACCCGUCGUAGAUGGGUCGAGCAUGCGUAUGGUUACAUUUGGGCAACCCCUGCAGGGUGUACAUCUUAUCGAUAAGCCGUGUCCGCGGUUAUGGACGACAUGGAAUUGUAUAGUUCGAUCAUAGAACAACUUACACCUUAUACUUGUUGUUAAUAAUCUGAUAAUAACUUGAUUAGUAAUAUAGCAUUACUACAACCGACACCUAAUAAAACUUGUCAACCGUGGAGUGCCUUUUACAUUGCCUCUUCGCAAUUGUUGAAGGGGAUAUGUGUAUUUGGCAGGGUUAUGUUUGUGUAGUAUUUAUCUGUUACCUUAUGCGCUCUCUUACCUUCUCUGAUUAGACGGAUGUUGUAGCGUGUCUCUAUUGGUUAUAGUUUUGCUGCCGCCAAACCUACCAUAUAGCCCCAGGCGAUAUAUAGAUAUAUAUACUCGCCCGGCGAGCAUAGCCAUUUCUAGUCUCGCUAAGUACGUGCCGGAGUUCGUUCCUUGGUACUUACUCUCGCCUUUCCUUUUUCUCUUUUGCUUCCUCCCUUUUGUCGGCAACCGAUGGCCCGACUUUGACAGGUACGAGAUGACAACGUUAGCAAGGUUACCCUUCUGGCUUGGCCUGGGCAGGGUUAUGGACACCAUCGUUUAUCUUCAGGACUCUUAGUCCAAUUUGUAUCUUGUCCGUACUCGGACAUAUUUGAUCUUCUGUAUGAUUUGGAUCUUUGUAUGUAUCUAUUUGUACCUUGACCCGUUGGAGUCGUUGUUGUAAUAUAUGUUUCUCGUGGGCUCUAUUGUAAUCUUGUUGUAAUGUUACCGCUCGUGUAAAUUCCUCUGGCAUCACGUGUGUGAUUUGUCGCGCACGUCGUGUCGGAGGGCGUCUCAGAAUCGAUAUCGUGCGGAUUUCGGCGGGAUCGCUGAAAUCCUCAGGAUACCGGUUCCGGGGCAUCACAAGUUGGUAUCAAAGCUCAGGUUGACGGUACCCCACUAGUCCAGCCUGUAGGAUAACCUUGCCAACGAACGUUGUUGUGUCUAGUGUCAAAACUAUUUUCUGAAAAUUCGUUGGAUAGAUCUGAUUAGCUCUGAAUUUUCUCCUUACCUAAAUUCUUUCUCCUCUUACCUUUGCCAGUUUUGAGUUUUCUCUUAUCUGCUUCUCCGAGUCAUAGGUUUGACGUGGGUUGUACAAUCUUCGUCUUAUCCUAUUAGGUCCGAUCUUCGGAGGAUCCCGAUAGAAGUGCAACAUCAAUAGCGGAACAAUGACUUCUUGUUGGUGGUGUCGACCGUUCUACGUGGAGCAGCAAUCCUUGUUAGUGGUGUCGAGGAGAUCGACACGUCGCCCGAAGACCCGAUAGUUCAACAGACUACGGACUAAGCCCGUACCCACUUUGGAUAAUGUGGUUGCGUGAAUAAAAGUUGGGACGGCGAUCACUUAUACACAGUGCUCCUUUGAAAACAUAACCCACGCACUUCCUUUGUUUGCCAACAACCCACCAUAUUCCUCCGAACAACCUUGUUCAACACAUUUGCUUUUUUUCCAAAAACAUACACUCGGGUAGAGUUAACUUACCCAAGGUUUUCAUGAACAUUUACAACAAGGUAAGCCUUGAGGGGUUCCCAACCUAAAGUUUCAUGAGUUGAACUAGUAUUGCACUACGGCCAAGAUGAGAGUCAUCAUGCCAUAGAUGGUGUAAAAAGUGGGUAAUGGAAUGGGUCAUACUUUCUUAAGGUAAGCAUGUAUUAAGACAACACAAGAAGAAUGGUAUUUUCAGAUUUGGGGUGCUAAGUAUCAAACUUAGAUAAUGAUGUAUCACUAUCCAUCAUACACUCCAAUAGGGUACACGGCAUACUCUUCUUAGUUGAGAAUGCACCAAGAUCAUGACAAUGAUACCUCUAUACUACAAAAGGGGUGGGUGUGGUGUAAGUCAUUAUCUAGAGAUGAAACAUGCUCAAGUUGAGCAUACAAGAUAACCAAGUGGAAUAGCACGGCCUUAAUACCAUGCAUCCCAUAAUCACAAGACAAAAGUGGAGUAUCACCACUAGGGAGUACCCCACUAGCAACCAUACAUAGACAACAUAAAUAAAGAGAACAACACACAUAGAAUCAAUGUGCUUUGGACAUCAACACCUGACAUCCAACUAGACACCAAGUCAGAGAUCAAAAGAUGGCUUGCCUUGGCUUAUUUGUCCCUGGACUUCUUCAACCCCAACAAAUAAGAAUUCCAACAAUAUAAAUUAAAUCCUUGUCCGAUUCCACUUCUUCUUCUUCUUCUUCUUCUUCUCCGGAAUUGUUCGCAUCUAUCGCCGUAAAAUAUAAAAGGAACAAAAUCAAUCACAUUGCACCAACAAGACAACAUUCAACAAUCAACAACUAACUAUGUAGCCAAGGGAUAACAUAUUAAGGACUUAUAGAUACUACAAAACAACUUGAAGAGUUUUAAUUUAGAAAACACCAUUUAAGUACCUAGUAGAGGUAUGAGUGCAUCACAACUUAGCAAUUGCCUUUCUCGGUUAUCACCAUGGUAUAAACCAAUUGUCCCCUGGUAGAUAACAUCAUAAAGAGGACAAGUGCAUUAGUUGGACAUCAAAAACAUUCUCAAUACAUUUUCAAACAUUUUUGAAAAAGCAGGAAACCAUUCUUCCUGUUUUAUUUGGCUUACAAAACACUACCUAAAAAUAGGAAGUAAACAAUACACCACACCAUUAGAAAACUAAAGCAAAACAAUAGAGCUAAUGUUAAGUUGCAUAGGUUUUGUUUUGCAAGCAUAAAACAAAGGCUGCCCAUUUCUAAUAAAAAGAGUUGGUCAAAGGUUUUAAAAUAAACCAAAAAAAAUUGGACUAACAACUCAUAUAGCACACACAUGUUAAUAUCAGUAACCAAUAUGCAUGAUCAGAGACUAAAAGUUUUUUUCCUAGAUGUCCAAUACUAAUACAAGACUAACCUAAUUGGAAUCACUCAAAAAGGUUGAACCUAUAAUUUUAGGGCUUUGCUUCAAUCUGACUGUACAGAAAACAAGAUCUGUAUGCCAAAAAUCGUAGAAAAAUCCUAAAAAUAUGAGGUCAGUUGCAUCUGAAAGGUAUUGACAAUACGGUUCUAAUGUAAUUGGUUUCACUCGCAAAUUCAUAUCCAAGAUCCUGGUCUAAACAGACAAAGUCAGAUCUGGCCAGAACUUGAUCUGUCAACCAUUUUAAUUUUAGGUGGUCAUAUGAGGUGAGACCAACAGAAAAAUGAAGCUGCUCGAUAGGGCUUUCAUCUCCAGUUGAGUUUGCUCAAAAACAAGACAAUACAUCUACCGACAGAUCAAAGCAAUACAUAUUGAUAAACAGAUCAAGGCAAUUCAUCUAAUUAGCCUAUAGAAAAAGUUUUUGUUCCCCCUAAUUUUUGCAAUGAGGACAACUAGUCAAGGUUGCAAAAGUUGGGGUGUUACAACAACCUGGGGGUUGGCGCUGGCGGAGGGGAGAUCUACAAAGAAACCAUGUAUGAGGAAGCAAAAGAGCAAAAUACCUCAAGUAUAGUGACCUCAUCGUCUGAACCGGAAGCGUUGGUUGACAAGUUACCAGGGCGCGAGGUGUGGGUCCGGCCCAUCUUGUGCUUGUUCCCGACCACGUAGGGAUCCGGAUCAACCUCGUCCACGGGGCGCCUCAGGCCAGGGGCUCGUGCCUCCGCUGCGAUGCGGGGGAAGCGGGUGCAAGCCUGGAAAAACAGAAAAAGGAUGAUUAGUUAAACAUCAAAAGUUACCGGAAAAACAAUCCGGAUUGCUCAAGAUCUUACUUCGUCAGUUGGGGGAUUGGUGUAGCUGAGGGGGAGGAGGCCCCAUUCCCAGUCCUCCGGCAUGUUAGUUUGGCAAAUUUUCCUAGCCUUAAGGACUACGUCCGUUUUGCUUAGGAGGCAGCCGGUGAUCUUGGUGGGGUCACGGGGGCCAUACAUCUGGCUCAUCUUGUGAGCCCGACGCUGGAGGGGAAGCACCCGACGUGAAAUGAACGCGCGGAUGAUAUCAUCGGAACAAAUGUCCGUGUCUUUGAGGAGCUUCUCCAUGAACCGCACAAUUUGGUUGGUUUCAAUAUGGGAGUUCCCCGGAUUGUGCCUCCAGUUGACCCUCGACGGCGUCCCUGGAUGAUAAGCCGGCAGAUUGAUGAAAUCGGCGUUGCCCUUGUUCUUCACAUAGAAGAAAGUCUGUUGCCAUGCCCUGCAUGACUCCAGACCGGAAAAUUUAAAGAAGGGGCUCCCCUGGCGAGCGCUGAUAAUGCAAGCCCCGCACUGAUCCGGCGGCUUCGGCUUGGGGAGGUUCUUGUCCUGGAUCGAGUUGAUCCGAAGACAAAAGAAGCGAGCGAAAGCUUAAAGAGUGGGGAGGAGACCAAUGUAGGCCUCCAUAAAAGAAACGAAGAAAGAAAGAUAGAAGAUGGCAUUGCCAGGAAGAUGGUGAGGUUGGAGUUCAUAGAAAUUGAGGAAUUGGCGAAAGAAAUCAGACGCCGGAAGGCCGAAGCCGCGCUCGAAGUGAGCGGUGAAAACUACGUGUUUCUUCGGGUUGAGGCGCGGGCUCUCCCUCGUUGCCUGGAAUCCGGCAAGAUACCUGUUCCGGUAUCCUGCGGGAGCGGUACAGCCAGUCGAUUUCCGGCUGCUUCACGUCGGAGCCCUUCCAGGCGCCGCGGGUGUACGCAGCUAGAUCCACACCGGAGCCUUGGCCGGAGCUGCUGGCCUCCUGGCCCCUUCCGGUACCGGCUUGUCGAGCGGAUGAGGAGGCAUCCAUCUGGGCGAGUUCAGCCUCGAGCCCGUCUGAUGCCUCACCGAUAGAAAUCCCCUCUUCGAUAUAGGCGGUGGGGGUUUCGAUGUGGCGGCUGCUGGCGCUGGGCUCGGAAAGAUACAGAUCGGUAGACAUUUUGGGUUAAGGAUUCCGAGAUCUACCCACAAACAGAUUUCCGCAAACCUAGCAGCUUUUGAAGGUCUACGAGAGAGAGAAAAACCAGAAAAAGGGGAAAGUAAAUACUCUACCGGCCCAAAAGCGGAGCAACGAAGAAGCAAGAAGCGAUUGAGUUAGUGGGGCUAACCUGGAACGGCGGAGAACGAUGAGGACGAUGAGCGCCAGAGUAGGGCGAGACUGCAGGCAGCAGUGAAGAACUAAGAAGAGGAAAAGAGUGUCGCGGCAGCGCUCUGAGAUGAAGAGGCGGAGGAGCUGCGGAGAGUCUGCGCGGAGCAGAGCUUCACGGGGCUUCUUCGGAGGGUCGCCGGAGAGCGGAGCGUCGGCGGCGAGCAACGGCGAAGAGGGCGCAGAGGGCUAAGGGCUCGAUGCGCGUGAGAAGGUGGAGAAUGCGAAGGAGGAGCAAAAGAGGAACCGCUACUCCCUUAAGUAGAGAGAGGGGGUCGUGGGCCGGUAACGGUCGGGCCACGACGCUUCGCCUCGCGGGCCGCGACGUGGCGCACCGAUACACGCGCAGAAAAUCAAAAGCCACAAGGAGGCCGCACGGAUCCGAAACGGCCGCAGGGAUCCGUUGUGGCGCAGUUAAUGCGACGAAGAAGCCGAAGGGAAGUGACCACUGACACUGGCGCGUCAGAAACAGUGCGCAUGUCACUGACGGGCACUGUUUCCGAGAUAUUCUCGACUUCGCCGAGGAGAGUUUAAUGACCGAGCAACCGGAGAAGGCCGGUACGAUGAGAUAAGUCCGGCAGAGAAGCCGGGAAGUUGGAAUUGGUUUCCGGACGGAUUAAACCUGUACACAAAGAGAUGGGAAACUGGCAUGGUCCGUCGGAUGGGAUCCGGCGGACUAUACCAGCUUCGGGGACUAAUGUUGGCGGGAUGACCCCCGGUAUGCCAAAGGCAUGCCGAACUUAGCCUUGGGAAGGCUAUCAAUGUACCGGUUUAAGGGUUAUUCCGGAUAACAAAGGUUGGUUUGUGGUUAA